rnacentral:rRNA from 1 species
GACGAACGCUGGCGGCGUGCUUAACACAUGCAAGUCGAACGGAAAGGCCCUGCUUUUGUGGGGUGCUCGAGUGGCGAACGGGUGAGUAACACGUGAGUAACCUGCCCUUGACUUUGGGAUAACUUCAGGAAACUGGGGCUAAUACCGGAUAGGCGCUCCUGCUGCAUGGUGGGGGUUGGAAAGUUUCGGCGGUUGGGGAUGGACUCGCGGCUUAUCAGCUUGUUGGUGGGGUAGUGGCUUACCAAGGCUUUGACGGGUAGCCGGCCUGAGAGGGUGACCGGCCACAUUGGGACUGAGAUACGGCCCAGACUCCUACGGGAGGCAGCAGUGGGGAAUAUUGCACAAUGGGCGGAAGCCUGAUGCAGCAACGCCGCGUGCGGGAUGACGGCCUUCGGGUUGUAAACCGCUUUCGCCUGUGACGAAGCGUGAGUGACGGUAAUGGGUAAAGAAGCACCGGCUAACUACGUGCCAGCAGCCGCGGUGAUACGUAGGGUGCGAGCGUUGUCCGGAUUUAUUGGGCGUAAAGGGCUCGUAGGUGGUUGAUCGCGUCGGAAGUGUAAUCUUGGGGCUUAACCCUGAGCGUGCUUUCGAUACGGGUUGACUUGAGGAAGGUAGGGGAGAAUGGAAUUCCUGGUGGAGCGGUGGAAUGCGCAGAUAUCAGGAGGAACACCAGUGGCGAAGGCGGUUCUCUGGGCCUUUCCUGACGCUGAGGAGCGAAAGCGUGGGGAGCGAACAGGCUUAGAUACCCUGGUAGUCCACGCUGUAAACGGUGGGUACUAGGUGUGGGGUCCAUUCCACGGGUUCCGUGCCGUAGCUAACGCUUUAAGUACCCCGCCUGGGGAGUACGGCCGCAAGGCUAAAACUCAAAGGAAUUGACGGGGCCCCGCACAAGCGGCGGAGCAUGCGGAUUAAUUCGAUGCAACGCGUAGAACCUUACCUGGGUUUGACAUGGAUCGGGAGCGCUCAGAGAUGGGUGUGCCUCUUUUGGGGUCGGUUCACAGGUGGUGCAUGGCUGUCGUCAGCUCGUGUCGUGAGAUGUUGGGUUAAGUCCCGCAACGAGCGCAACCCUUGUUCACUGUUGCCAGCACGUUAUGGUGGGGACUCAGUGGAGACCGCCGGGGUCAACUCGGAGGAAGGUGGGGAUGGCGUCAAGUCAUCAUGCCCCUUAUGUCCAGGGCUUCACGCAUGCUACAAUGGCUGGUACAGAGAGUGGCGAGCCUGUGAGGGUGAGCGAAUCUCGGAAAGCCGGUCUCAGUUCGGAUUGGGGUCUGCAACUCGACCUCAUGAAGUCGGAGUCGCUAGUAAUCGCAGAUCAGCAACGCUGCGGUGAAUACGUUCCCGGGGCU